UAAGGCUUUUAUUUCCUCCGGGUUC
rnacentral:piRNA from 1 species